AUAAACAUAUUGUUAUCAUUAUUACUGAUGUUAAAAAAAAAAUGUGUUGGGCAAAGGAAGGUGACUCACGUCUGUUAUCUCAGCACUUUAGGAAGCCGAGACCUCCUGCUUGAGGCCAAGAGUUUGAGAGCAGCCUGGGCAAUACGUGGAGGCCCCAUCAAACAAUCAAUGAGUCACAGAUGUGUUGGUUUUCACGUGUGUGUAUUCUUCAUUAGCAAUGAGGACACUGCUGAUAAAGGCACUACAAUAGUUUGUUUUGUGAGCUGAGUUUCCAAAUCAAGCAAAGGGGUACCUCAUAUUGUCAUUAUGUGAAAGUGAAAUGUCAACAUACUUUCACAGAGCUGCUUCUAACCCACGUGAUAUCAUCACACAAUUUUUAAAAAGGAGCGCCCUCUGGGAGGAACAACUAAAAAAAGGGCACCUUUUCCUCUGAUGCCCCUCAUACUGGAUCCCCACUCACCACCUUGAACUGGACACAACCUGCACAACCAUACGCUGUGGCCUCACUUCCAACCGAGGUGAACCCUGUGGUGCAGAGCACACAACUUACUUUUAAUAAGAUGCUGAUAGCACAAGCCACACCAACCGAUCCAGUUCCUACAAUGGAGAUCUUAUUGUGAUGAAUGGCCUCCUCUUCCGCGAAAUUCUUAAUAAGUUCACUCUUGACAGUUGCCAUCUUGGAAACCUAACAGUGAAGACAAAUUGCACAGCCAUUUCCAAGACCUGGAAUUGGAAAUGGCUUGGAAUUCCAAGACCUGUGGUGAGAGCGGGUAUAGAGAACUCCUGGGCCCCUGUGUGGAAGGAGGUGCUGCAGACACACAAAAGACCUACAAAUCUGACCAGCAAAGAAGCUGGGUAGGUUCUGGCCAGGCAGCUCAGCAUCCAUGAAGCGGACCAGGGGAAGGAGAAGGAAGCGUGAGUACAGUUAAGAGGAAUUAAGAGAGAGACAGAGGAAAGGAACAGGGGUUGCUCCACCAAACAUGAAACUACAGCUGGGACGGCACUCCGUCCCGCAGCUGACCCCUUUUUCUCUCCCCUUUUUUACCCUACUUUCCCCCCAACCUCCAGUUCUCAGCUCCAGGACUGCGCCCGGGGUCCGCAGGUCCAGGUGAGAGGUACUUCUGGCCACACUCACAGGGGUGAAGGGCCACCCGCGCCCGAGCAGGUCACAUGCCGCCUGGCGGAGACACAGAACCAUCCUAGGGCAAAAACAAUUCGCUCCCGCGGCGCCCACUCUCUGGCUGCUCCCCAGGACUCUUGCAGCCCAGCUCAUGGCCACUCACUCAAGAGGUGAAGAAAGAGAAUGGAGGAAAGUGGCGUUAAAGCUCGUCCAGGCACGAAGGAGCUCAACCGCCGACUAAGACGCCGUGUCACCCCCUUACUGCAGCUGCGCAGACCGCACCCAGCUCGUGCAGGCAUCGCAGGUGUGAUGCUUGGCAGGUGUGAUGCUUGGCAGGUGUGAGGCCGCAAGGAGGCUGUGAGGCACCGCGCCUGCGCCUCUGCCUGCCCGCCCCGCCCCCGCGUGCGGGUGGGCGCGCUGCGGUGUCGGUGGUUGGCCGGCUGCAGAAGGCGCACAAGGUGCAGCAGGUACAACGCAGUCCAGGGCCUCUGCUGGUCGGGCGGAGUUGUUUGCCUAGAACCCAUCCACCAGAGAGCCCAAGUAAUUUUAUUUCUAACCAAACCUUGUCUGGAUGUAUCUGAAAAGGACUUUUUGACUCUCACUUGGAAAUUUUUCCCCAGCCCUGUAGGAGAAAGGGACCUCAAGAUUAACAUUUACCACCUCAAAUGUGAGCUAAAGUAGAAAAAGUAAAAUUUUAAAACUCUGGGCCGAGCGUGGUGGCUCACGCCUGUAAUCCCAGCACUCUGGAGGCCAAGGCGGGCGGAUCACCUGAGGUCAGGGGUUCGAAAUCAGCCUGGCCAACAUAGUGAAACCACGUUUCUACUAAAAAUACAAAAAUUAGCUGGAUGUGGUGGUACACCCCUGUAAUCCCAGCUACUUGGGAGGCUGAAGCACACGAAUUGUUUGUGAACCUGGGAGGCGGAGGUUGCAGUAAGCCGAGAUUGUGCCACUGCACUCCAGCCUGGGUGACGGAGUGAGACCCUGUCUCAAAACAACAACAACAAAACUCUGUAUGCAAAAGGAAUUUUGAAAUAAGAUAUGAAACCUGAAGAAUUUGAUGAGUGCAGUGCCAAUUGAUAACCAUGUUUACAAGAUGAAGGGAAAGCUCAAUUCAUUAUUAAGUGGUUAAAUGUAGAAUCCACACUUUGGGAGGCCGAAGGCGGGUGGAUUACCUGAGGUCAGGAGUUCGAGACUAGCCUGGCCAACAUGGCGAAACCCCGUCUCUACUAAAAAUACAAAAAUUAGCCGGGUGUGGUGGCACGCACCUGUAAUCCCAGCUACUCAGGAGGCUGGGGCAGGAGAAUCGUUUGAACCCGGGAGGCAGAGGUUUUGGUAAGCCGAGAUCAUGCCACUGCCCUCCAGCCUGGGUGACAGAGUGAGACUCCAUCUCAAAAAUAAAAAAUAAAAA